UAAUACGGAGGAUCCAAGCGUUAUCCGGAAUUAUUGGGUUUAAAAGGUCCGUAGGUGGACAAUUAAGUCAGAGGUGAAAUCCUGCAGCUCAACUGUAGAAUUGCCUUUGAAACUGGUUGUCUUGAGUCAUUAUGAAGUGGUUAGAAUGUGUAGUGUAGCGGUGAAAUGCAUAGAUAUUACACAGAAUACCAAUUGCGAAGGCAGAUCACUAAUAAUGUACUGACACUGAUGGACGAAAGCGUGGGUAGCGAACAGGAUUAGAUACCCUGGUAGUCCACGCCGUAAACGAUGGUCACUAGCUGUUCGGACUUCGGUCUGAGUGGCUAAGCGAAAGUGAUAAGUGACCCACCUGGGGAGUACGUUCGCAAGAAUG
rnacentral:rRNA from 1 species